CCUACGGGAGGCAGCAGUAGGGAAUCUUUCACAAUGGGCGAAAGCCUGAUGGAGCAACGCCGCGUGCAGGAUGAAGGCCUUCGGGUUGUAAACUGCUUUUAUAAGCGAGGAAUAUGAUGGUAACUUAUGAAUAAGGAUCGGCUAACUACGUGCCAGCAGCCGCGGUCAUACGUAGGAUCCGAGCAUUAUCCGGAGUGACUGGGUGUAAAGAGUUGCGUAGGUGGCAUAAUAAGUAGCUAGUGAAAUCUGGUGGCUCAACCAUUCAGACUAUUAGCGAAACUGUUAAGCUCGAGACCGUUAGGGGUAACUGGAAUUGCUAGUGUAGGAGUGAAAUCCGUAGAUAUUAGAAGGAACACCAAUAGCGUAGGCAGGUUGCUGGGACGGUUCUGACACUAAGGCACGAAAGCGUAGGGAGCAAACGGGAUUAGAUACCCGAGUAGUC
rnacentral:rRNA from 1 species